rnacentral:tRNA from 8 species
CGGGAUGUAGCGCAGUUUGGUAGCGCGUAUGCUUUGGGAGCAUGAUGUCGCAGGUUCGAAUCCUGUCAUCCCGA